UACGUAGGUGGCGAGCGUUGUCCGGAUUUACUGGGCGUAAAGCGCGCGCAGGCGGUUCUGUAAGUCCUGGGUGAAAUCGCCCGGCUCAACUGGGCGGGGGCCUGGGGGACUGCGGGACUGGAGGGGCCUAGAGGCCGGUGGAACUCCCGGUGUAGUGGUGAAAUGCGUAGAGAUCGGGAAGAACACCAGUGGCGAAGGCGGCCGGCUGGGGGCGCCCUGACGCUGAGGCGCGAGAGCGUGGGGAGCGAACCGG
rnacentral:rRNA from 1 species